UCUCCGUUAUCCGGAGCAGUCCUCAUAGAGUUCUCCCUUGCGGGUAGCAACUAUGAGUAAGGGUUGCGUUCGUUGCGGGACUUAACCCAACACCUCACGGCACGAGCUGACGACAGCCAUGCAGCACCUCUACACAGGUCCCUUGCGGGAAGGCCUGAUUUCUCAGACUGGUCCUGUGCGGUUCAAGCCCAGGUAAGGUUCUUCGCGUUGCGUCGAAUUGAACCACAUGUUCCACCGCUUGUGCGGGCCCCCGUCAAUUCCUUUGAGUUUCAGUCUUGCGACCGUACUCCCCAGGCGCAGGACUUAACGCGUUAGCUACGGGACUUGCCCCGUACAGGGCAAACCCCAAGUCCUGAUGGUUUAGGGCUAGGACUAC
rnacentral:misc_RNA from 1 species